UGUGAGAGCAAGAGCCCGGAGAUGGAUUCUGAGACACGAAUCCAGGCCCUACGGGGCGCAGCAGGCGCGAAAACUUUACAAUGCUGGCAACAGCGAUAAGGGAACCUCGAGUGCCAGGUUACAAAUCUGGCUGUCGUGAUGCCUAAAAAGCAUUGCAUAGCAAGGGCCGGGCAAGACCGGUGCCAGCCGCCGCGGUAACACCGGCGGCUCGAGUGGUAACCGUUAUUAUUGGGUCUAAAGGGUCUGUAGCCGGCCGGAUAAGUCUCUUGGGAAAUCUGGCAGCUCAACUGUCAGGCUUUCAGGAGAUACUGUCUGGCUCGAGGCCGGGAGAGGUGAGAGGUACUUCAGGGGUAGGAGUGAAAUCUUGUAAUCCUUGAAGGACCACCAGUGGCGAAGGCGUCUCACCAGAACGGACCUGACGGCAAGGGACGAAAGCUAGGGGCACGAACCGGAUUAGAUACCCGGGUAGUCCUAGCCGUAAACGAUACUCGCUAGGUGUCGGCCACGGUGCGACCGUUGUCGGUGCCGUAGGGAAGCCGUGAAGCGAG
rnacentral:rRNA from 1 species